rnacentral:rRNA from 2 species
UGGAACCUUAGCGCCCUUUUAGUUUUUUUGCCCCUGCUCAGGACGAACGCUGGCGGCGUGCCUAAUACAUGCAAGUCGAACGAACUCUGGUAUUGAUUGGUGCUUGCAUCAUGAUUUACAUUUGAGUGAGUGGCGAACUGGUGAGUAACACGUGGGAAACCUGCCCAGAAGCGGGGGAUAACACCUGGAAACAGAUGCUAAUACCGCAUAACAACUUGGACCGCAUGGUCCGAGCUUGAAAGAUGGCUUCGGCUAUCACUUUUGGAUGGUCCCGCGGCGUAUUAGCUAGAUGGUGGGGUAACGGCUCACCAUGGCAAUGAUACGUAGCCGACCUGAGAGGGUAAUCGGCCACAUUGGGACUGAGACACGGCCCAAACUCCUACGGGAGGCAGCAGUAGGGAAUCUUCCACAAUGGACGAAAGUCUGAUGGAGCAACGCCGCGUGAGUGAAGAAGGGUUUCGGCUCGUAAAACUCUGUUGUUAAAGAAGAACAUAUCUGAGAGUAACUGUUCAGGUAUUGACGGUAUUUAACCAGAAAGCCACGGCUAACUACGUGCCAGCAGCCGCGGUAAUACGUAGGUGGCAAGCGUUGUCCGGAUUUAUUGGGCGUAAAGCGAGCGCAGGCGGUUUUUUAAGUCUGAUGUGAAAGCCUUCGGCUCAACCGAAGAAGUGCAUCGGAAACUGGGAAACUUGAGUGCAGAAGAGGACAGUGGAACUCCAUGUGUAGCGGUGAAAUGCGUAGAUAUAUGGAAGAACACCAGUGGCGAAGGCGGCUGUCUGGUCUGUAACUGACGCUGAGGCUCGAAAGUAUGGGUAGCAAACAGGAUUAGAUACCCUGGUAGUCCAUAMMGURRACGAUGAAUGCUAAGUGUUGGAGGGUUUCCGCCCUUCAGUGCUGCAGCUAACGCAUUAAGCAUUCCGCMUGGRGAGUACGGCCGCAMGGCKGAAACUCAAAGGAAUUGACGGGGGCCCGCACAAGCGGUGGAGCAUGUGGUUUAAUUCGAAGCUACGCGAAGAACCUUACCAGGUCUUGACAUACUAUGCAAAUCUAAGAGAUUAGACGUUCCCUUCGGGGACAUGGAUACAGGUGGUGCAUGGUUGUCGUCAGCUCGUGUCGUGAGAUGUUGGGUUAAGUCCCGCAACGAGCGCAACCCUUAUUAUCAGUUGCCAGCAUUAAGUUGGGCACUCUGGUGAGACUGCCGGUGACAAACCGGAGGAAGGUGGGGAUGACGUCAAAUCAUCAUGCCCCUUAUGACCUGGGCUACACACGUGCUACAAUGGAUGGUACAACGAGUUGCGAACUCGCGAGAGUAAGCUAAUCUCUUAAAGCCAUUCUCAGUUCGGAUUGUAGGCUGCAACUCGCCUACAUGAAGUCGGAAUCGCUAGUAAUCGCGGAUCAGCAUGCCGCGGUGAAUACGUUCCCGGGCCUUGUACACACCGCCCGUCACACCAUGAGAGUUUGUAACACCCAAAGUCGGUGGGGUAACCUUUUAGGAACCAGCCGCCUAAGGUGGGACAGAUGAUUAGGGUGAAGUCGUAGAAGGGGGUACCAAA